UACGGAGGGGUGCAAGCGUUGCUCGGAAUUAUUGGGCGUAAAGGGUAGGUAGGUGGUCUCAUUUGGUCUGGGGUGAAGCCUUGAGCUUAACUCAAGAAGUGCCCCGGAAACGGUGAGACUGGAGUCCUGGAGAGGGUCGUGGAAUUCCCGGUGUAGCGGUGAAAUGCGUAGAGAUCGGGAGGAACACCAGAGGCGAAGGCGGCGACCUGGACAGGCACUGACACUCAACUACGAAAGCGUGGGGAGCAAACAGG
rnacentral:rRNA from 1 species